rnacentral:rRNA from 1 species
CCUACGGGUGGCAGCAGUAAGGAAUAUUGGACAAUGGGCGAAAGCCUGAUCCAGCCAUGCCGCGUGAAUGAAGAAGGCCUUAGGGUUGUAAAGUUCUUUUAAUGAAGAUACGGUAGCCUCAGAAAAAGCUCCGGCUAACUCCGUGCCAGCAGCCGCGGUAAUACGGAGGGAGCGAGCGUUGUUCGGAAUUACUGGGCGUAAAGGGUGCGCAGGCGGCUAUGUAAGUCGGAAGUGAAAUCCCAGGGCUUAACCUUGGAAUUGCUUUCGAAACUAUGUGGCUAGAGUCUCGGAGAGGUUGGCGGAAUUCCCAGUGUAGAGGUGAAAUUCGUAGAUAUUGGGAGGAACACCAGUGGCGUAAGCGGCCAACUAGACGAGACUGACGCUCAAGCACGAAAGCGUGGGGAUCAAACAGGAUUAGAUACCCGUGUAGUC